GUCUACAGCCAUACCACCCUGAAUGUGCCUGAUCUCGUCUGAUCUUGGAAGCUAAGCAGGGUCGGGCCUGGUUAGUAACUUGGUGGGAGAAAUGGACAGAUCAAGGACCGUGUCCU
ensembl:rRNA 5S_rRNA 5S ribosomal RNA